UGCGGUGUAGCUCAGCGGUCAGAGCCCGGCCGGGCCAAUCCCGGCUGUCGUGUCGCUGGUUCGAAUCCAGCCAUCGCAC
rnacentral:tRNA from 1 species